AGAAACUUAGGUUACUUUUAAACCGAAGGCCUUCAAAGCCUUAAACAAGAGCUACACCCUCUUAGUUUCUG
rnacentral:tRNA from 1 species